UCUCUUCUUUCAAAAAGGAUGUGUAACGACAUCUCUAGAAUCAGAUGCAGAUUUGAUGUAAAAAUUUCAUCUAAUAAGAACACAAAUUAGUUCAAACCUAACAAGCCAACUAGGACUCUCUUAGCUAGUUACACAACCAGGAAAUAAGGUGGAUGGUUACAGACUUACAGUUUAUCAUAAUGGUAUUAACUUUCAAAGAACUAGUAUCAUUCAUGGGACAAGCCUUCCCCUGCACAUGAGCAGAGUAUUCCAUACAAGAUCACUUAAUUAGAUGCAUUUUCAAUCAAGCUGACUGAUUUCGAAGAAUAAUCAGACAUGGAAGAUGACUCUCCACAAGUGUUCAUUGGCUUCUCAUCUGGAUAUAGAACAGGUCUCGAAGGCAGUUGCAGGCUUUCAAUGUCUCCUUCAAGCAUCUCCACAACUUCGUUCAUUGCGGGCCGAUUCAGAGGGUUCAUUUGUAUACACCACAACCCUGUAAUAAUCAUCUUCUUGACUAUCUUUUCUUCCUCUUCCGUGCCACCAUCUCCAAUCUCUAUAGCCUUCUCAUUAGAGACUUGGUCAUGAACCCAAUCUGGCCAGUAAAUUUGGUUUGAAUUCUCUGUCAAUGCGUUCAGAUUCUUCCUUCUGCCUGCCAUUUCCAAUAGCAACAUUCCAAAGCUAUAAACAUCAGCUUUGUAUGAGACGCGCCCGAUAUUCUUGUAGAACAGUUCUGGCGCCAUGUAACCUAUUGUUCCCCCUGCUGCAGUGAGAGAUUUCUCGGUCUCAUUUGCUGGGCACAACCUAGCAAGCCCAAAGUCAGAAACUUUUGGAGCGAAGUUUUCAUCCAGAAGAAUGUUGUGAGGCUUGAUGUCAAAAUGUAGGAUCUGCAUCUCACAACCUCGAUGUAGAUAUUCGAUGCCAUGAGCCACUCCAAGGGAAAUCUCAUGCAGUUUUUCCCAGCUUAAAGAGACAGAACUUUCUUGAGAAAAAAUGAAAUUAUUGAGAGAUCCAUUGGGCAUGAAAUCGUAUACAAGAGCGCGCUUUGAUCCCUCAGCACAAAAACCAACUAGUUGCACUACAUUGGUGUGGCGAAUCCUUCCAAUGGUAGCGACUUCAUUGAUGAAAUCUUGUCCAUUAGCCUUGGAUUUGCCCAGCAAUUUUAUCGCUGCAGAAUGUCCACUGCGAAGCUUUCCUUUAUACACGCAACCGAAACCCCCUUCUCCCAACUUCUCCUUGAAACCUCCAGUCAUCUUCUUAAUCUCCGAAUAAGAAUACCUUAGGACUGGCAUAAGAUUGUUAUGAGUCUGUAGGAAUUCCUCAACUGUGUCAUAUGCUGAUAGAUGUCUUCGUCGCCAUUUAUAGAUCAAGAAUGCAAUCACAAAUGGACUCCCAAAGAUAAAUUUUGUCCCCUGAAGUAGUGCUGUGUGUGAAAUUUGAGAGGAAAAAAAAAUGAAGAGAGGAAUUGUUAUUCUUUCUUAUUAAUAUAUAUCAGAGAUUGAUAAAUACUCAGCAUGGGUUAGGUUAGGCGUUAGGAUUAUUUUUCCGAGUUGAAAAAUCAUAUAAAAUGUAGACCAAAAUGAGAGGACUCAGGUUCAAUCAAGUUUCAUAAGAACAUACUCUUAACCAAAAGGUAUGUCUCAGACAUUAGGCAACCCCAAGAGUGCUGCUAAGGAAGAACUUGGCAUGAGUAGACAUUUAGGAAUUAUCAUUCGUAUAUGCUAAUAAAAUAUGAUGCAGUAUCACAACUUCAAAAAAAAAAAAUAAUAAUAAGGGGAGUUAUUACCAAUGAACAGGAAUACAGUCUGCAGCACGCCUGCAGAGAAGGUAAACAAAUUUAGAGAUAUUAUAGUAAGGACUAGUUGGAAUUACGGAAUCAAGCAUGAAGAAGUGGGGAGAUAGACUCCUCACCUGCGAUUAAUUCGAACCAAGAAAGUCCUGUUGGGCCAAGAGAUCAGUUACAAAGAUUAGAUUUGUGAUUUGAGAAAAUAUAUAACGGAGGUCAUUACAAGAUGAAAGAAAUUGAGAAGAAACAAAUGAAUGACUUGGCAAAAUUAUCCUGGUUUAACUUUUUGAAUUCAAAUCUUGUGGUUAAUGUCCAGAAGAUUUUAUUAAAUUUUUCUGAAUGUAUUAAAGAAGCGAAACUUAGUUUUGUUUGACUAAGUUUUCUGAAAAUCGGUAUAAAAAUAUCAUUAAUCGUCGAAUAAAAGAAAACCACGAAUUAUUAUGACAAGUGAUAUGACCAUCUGCAGCCUAUGAUAGCUUGAUUGAACUGACCGUACGAUACUCAGCACUACAAUAUGCUUCAGAAAUGGGGAAAUCAUGCGAAGAGAAGUUGAAGAUAGAAAAACGAACAGUUUGUUACUCAAUAUUGCCCACCUGCGCAGCGUGUCUUGUUCGAAUCAUAGAUGUAGCAAAUACCUGCACAGCUUCCACACCUGCUAUUGUGCCAUGAAAGCUCAAACCCAUAUGCGAGCUGACUGUGAAUUUCCUUAUAGGACAUGCUCUUGUAAUCCUUGACUGGCAACAACGUCAUCCUCUCUAAGCUGCACAGUUCCAUCAGAUCCGAAGCCUUCAUCCCACCAACAUUCACAUAAGAUUUUUCUCCAUUAAGGCAAGUACCAGUGCCAACGUACAGAGGAGAAUCCACUGGAUUUGCGCAGUUUAUGAAAAUCAUCAUCUGCGAUAAAGGGAGAGGCUUGUAUGUGGGAGACCACUCCCACCCUGUCUUUUUGAAUUGAAACCAUGUAUAUGGAUAAUCAUCAUCUGCGAUAUAAUCGAAGCCUGUAAAUGUUAAAGUAAAAAUAGUAUAUGCCCUUCUGGAUUUGCCUAGGCUAUCAAAUGCUAAAGAAAAAUUAGGAAGCGAAGAGCAAUCAUUUUCUUUAACACCAGCAUCAACCACUCGGAUUGUCAAGUUGUUGUAGUUGAUUGCCUGCACGUAGUAUUUUCGUGAGUCUAAAUACAAUACUGUGGAGUUAUUUUUCUCGCAGUGGAGGGUAUAGUUAAAGGGGUAGCUAAUAUUAUGAUUUCCACAGUUAGAUGGAUCACUUUCUAGGCUAAAGGGGUAGCUAAUAGUAUGAUUUCCACAUGAAGGGGCACAGAGAUUGGUAUCCUUGCAGUUGCUGGUUUGGAAGACUAGCAGCAGGGGGAGUAAGGCUAUGUAGCCAGCAAAGAGAAACCUAGACAUGGAUGGAGAAAGAGUAUGGAGUCCAUAAACAAUCCAUCAUGUCUUUAAAGACAACAGUUAUAGCAGUAAUGUUAGAAUAAUAUAAAUUAUAUUUUUAGAAAUAAUUUAAUAAUUUAAAUUUUUAAGUAGAGUUAGUAUUAUGAUAUGAUAUUAAAGUCUUGGUAAUUAAAAGAUUAUGAAUUCUAAUCAGAUUAUUUUUAUUUAUUUAAUAAAAAUUAAGCAUAAGAUAAUAUGAGUUUGUAUAAGUUUUUAAAGCAAAAAAACUUUUACUUUAACAAAUAUAUUAAAAAAUAAUAUAAAUUAUAUAUUGAAAAUUCUUUUAAAUAAAAUUGGUUCUUUUACAGAGAGAGAAAGAGAGAGAAAUAUAGAUGAAGUUAAAACCUAAAGGCCGAAUAUUUCAAUGUGAGAGUUAUUAGAAUGACCAAGUCAUCCUUUGAAAUAUCAAAGUCAUAGUAAAGCAAAGAUUUAUAUUAAAAAUUCUUUUAAAUGAAAUUGAUUCUUUUAUCAGAAAAGAAGAAACAUAGAAGAAGUUAAAACCUAAAUGCCAGUUUUUCAAUGUAAGAGUUCCAUCAGCGUAUUAAAAUAACCAAAGUCAUCCUUUGAAAUGUAAGAGUCACAGUAACGAAGCAAAGAUUACUUCGAUAUAAACCACAAAUCCAUCAACUCUCAGCACCACAAGCGUCAACAUAUAGAGCACCUUCUUGGCAAUAAUUUGUGAAAAAAGCCAAAGAUCAACACAAGUGUUCCAGGUAAGUCCAAGCUCUGCUUCCCUCCUCUUUCCCUUCGAAAGUGGAAAGAAAGUGAGGGUGCAAUAAUCCUUGCUGACACGGAACUACUACUACAUUGAACGCAAGAGAGGUCAAUUCUGAGUACUUAAUCUAGGCAAGUAAAAAGAAGGUAUCAGAGUUACCCUUGCUGCUCCCAUCUGAGUUUACUAUUGUUUCAGCAAUAUCUAGAUACUGUUAGGUCGAAACUCUAUCACCAUAGGAGGCAAUGAUGAGAGGUUCAACAAAAAAGGCAAUAUGCCUGUUCUAUUUCAUGUUCAUUGCAGAACUUGGAGCAAGCCUUAAUUGCACAGGAUCUUGUGGGAACCGUGGCCUUCACAUCCGAUUUCCAUUCUGGAUCAAGGAUAGGCAGCCAGAACAGUGUGGCUAUCCUGGUUUUGAUCUGUCUUGCAAUGAGAAGGGCGAUAUAGUGCUCGAGCUGCCAGCUGCAGUGAAGCUCCACAUAGAAAAGAUUGACUACGAAAAUCAAGUUAUUUAUGCAACAGAUCCCCAAGGUUGCCUUCGAAGCCAACACCCAAACUUCAAUUCGUCCGGGUUUCACAUACAGUUUAAGAUGUCCAAGGUCAAUUUUACCAUCUUCAAUUGCUCUUUAAAUAAUGCAAUAUCUCGGCGUAGGAUCGCUUGUCUCAGCACUCACCAAUAUGAUGUUCUUGCCGUUGAUUCGGAACAAUCUAUUGAUGGCAAUGAGUUACUAUUAUCUUGUACCAAGAUGUACGACCUACCUGUUCCACAUGAUAUUCGGCUGUCCUGGUCCAAUCCCAAUUGUGGAUCUUGUGAAGCAACAGGAAAACUAUGUGGAUUGAGGGAAAAUAGCAGCACUGAGCUUGAAACAGAAUGCUAUGGCUUGCCCAGACCAAAAAAAGGUAUUUUUAGAUUCAAGUCUUCUUUUUCACUGUUCUGUGUUUAUGGCUCCUUGAUUUUCUAGGAUUUUUUGCUUUAUUAAGUUCUUGUUUCUAUAAAUCCAUGACAUUAUAGUGACUUCAGAAACUUCCUGAAAAUGAGAACCUAACAAGUAACAAGGGUUCUUAUCUUCUGCAGGUGCACGGAAAAGGAAUCUGACUAUAGGUUAGUUGUUCUCAAAUUUACUCCAACUCUAUGCUUCCAAAAAAGAAGAUCAGUUACUUAACUCAAAAGGCUUAUUUAUAAAUGCAGGUGUAACCACAGGAUCCAUCCUUUUCGGGGUUGUGGUCAUUGCAGUCUACCAAAUUUAUAGCUUCAGAAAAUCAGAAGAAGAAUAUCAGGCAAAGGUUGAAAGGUUUUUGGAUGAUUACAGAGCUAUGAACCCCACAAGAUACUCCCAUGCUGAUCUCAAAAAGAUGACAAAUCAAUUCAGGGAUGAAUUAGGGCAAGGAGCUUAUGGAACUGUGUUCAAAGGAAAGCUAACCAGUGAGAUUCCGGUGGCUGUUAAGGUUCUAAGCAAUUCAUCAGAAAAAGGAGAGGAAUUCGUAAACGAAAUGGGAACAAUGGCCAGGAUUCACCAUGUCAAUGUAGUCCGCUUGAUUGGCUUCUGUGCUGAUGGAUUUAGACGAGCUCUAGUUUACGAGUACUUGCCAAACGAUUCGCUGCAGAAGUUCAUAUCUUCAGCAAACGCAAGGAAUGUUUUCCUUGGCUGGGAAAGGCUGCAUCAUAUUGCCCUUGGAGUAGCCAAAGGGAUUGAAUAUCUUCACCAGGGUUGUGACCAAACAAUCCUCCACUUUGAUAUCAAACCACAUAAUAUCCUGCUGGACAAUGACUUCAAUCCCAAGAUUGCAGAUUUCGGUCUGGCUAAGUUGUGUUCCAAGUAUAAAAGUGCUAUUUCCAUGACAACAGCUAGGGGAACCGUCGGCUACAUAGCACCCGAAGUGUUCUCAAGAAACUUUGGGAAUGUCUCCUACAAGUCAGACGUGUACAGUUUCGGAAUGAUGGUGUUAGAAAUGGUUGGUGGAAGGAAAAAUGUUGAUGAUACAGCAGAAAAUGGUGAUCAAGUAUACUUCCCAGAAUGGAUUUAUAAUCUCUUAGAAGAAGGAGAAGACCUGCGGUUCCAAAUCGAGGAAGAAGGGGAUGCUGAAAUUGCGAAGAAGCUAGCCAUUGUGGGACUGUGGUGCAUCCAGUGGAACCCAGUGGACCGUCCUUCCAUGAAAAUUGUUGUCCAGAUGCUGGAAGGUGAAGGAGACAGGUUAAGUACACCUCCUAAUCCUCUUAGCUCCACAGCUGCAAAGAGAACGAAUGCAGGUAUGCUAAGGAGGCAUCUUCAUCAAGAGUUGGCAGCCAUCUCAGAAACAGAGUAAUCAUAUAUUUUGAGGUCAUCAUUGCUUUCAAGGCUGUGAUCUCUGAGCUGUUGCCUACAGUGGAGAUUCUGAGUAAUUCGCGGCUUAUUACACAAAUAAAAGAUUGGCAUGCAUUUGAUUGAAAAUAUAGAGAUGAAACUGUAUUUGUUUAAUUUUUUUUUUUUUUUUGUGUUUUUGGAUUGUGAUUAUUUUAAUGUAUUUUCUAAUAAAAAAAAUAUUUUAAAAAACAAUUUUUAACACUCCAAAACAGGCCUUCAAGGUAUUAAAGUUUGAGGUACUUCUUCCUUGGUAUUCAUUACUAUUAUUUUUCCAGUUGAUGUGCGUAUUUUAUGCUACAAAACUAAUACUUUAUCGUCAAAUAGCUAAAACUCGACUAGCAUUAGUGCCCUUCCUUUUCUCAAGAGGUCUUUAAUUAAUAAAAAAAAAUUAAAGAAGAAUUGAUAGGAAAUACUAACAAACUUGGAGAUAGAAAGGAUUCAAUCACGAUAUAUUUGAAAUUAUAGGGACUCAAUUGUUAAACUUUCAUAUUUUAUGACAACUUAAGAAUUGUUAAAAUCUCAUUCCAAAAUCAAGUUAUUGAUUGGGUCCUUAAUGUUUCGGAUAUUUCUCAAUCGGCUUCUUCUUUUCAUGUCCAUUACUUUUAUAUUUUUUCCUUUGACAGAAAGGAUUGAGUCAAGAUAUAUUUAAAAUGUUAGGGACUCAAUUGUUAUGCUAAACUUCUAUAUUUUGUGACAAAUUAAGAAUUUAGUAAUACUUUAGAGGUUAAUUUGAGUUUUCUCUGUAAUUAAACAGCACCUAGCUUUUGAACGAACUUGAAUAGCUUGUUGUCUUCUCCAAUGCAAACAAUCAUCCAUGUGGUAAACUGCUUGUUAUUUGGAUCUGUAGAUUCUCUUUUUAGAUAUUAUUAGUUUAAUUUUUUUUUACAUAAAAAAUAUUCAAUUGUUCCAUCGUUUAAUUCAUGAUUCAGGUUGUAAGAUAUGAUAAUCUAAUAUAAAGCUGAAAAAAAUCACGAAGUCUAAUACCUAAUCAAUAUAAUAUUAAAAAAUAAAAUUAAAAAAUAUACAAAUUAAAAAAAAAAAAAAAAAAACACAAGUUAACCAACUAAACUCGCAACACAUAUCAUAAGACCAGGAUAAUAAACAGAAACAAACCACUAUUGAUUUUGUUUUUGUUAAUGUGACCAAUCCCCAAAGUGAAAAACAUGAAAAAUAUCCCCCUCCCUCUCAAGCCAUGGUUUCAGUCACUAAGAACCACCACCCCUCACAUAAGCCACCCAAGAACCACCACUUGAGCCUUGUCUUGCAUCAUCCUAUACUCAACCAGAAAAGAAAACUGAUUAGCUUAGACUUUGAAAGGGAAAUAAAAUUAGGUUAACAAAGCAGAGUAAAAACAAAGUGCACUAAAGUGAGGCUGCCAUUGUAAAACUGAACAACAAAUAUAUAGAUCCAGUACAUUGAUCACCAUCAAUCAUAAGAACAUAUGUUGCUCAGCUGCAACAUUUCUGUUUGUUAAGUUUUUUCAGCAAGGAAACCAACAACAUCCGGCAUAACAUGGCAAGAAAAACUUUUCCUAGAAGCAGUAUGAAAUAUUCCAAGGAUGGCAGAGAACUCAGUCUUCAUAAAAAUUGCAAAAGCAUUUCGAUUGAAGGCUAAAAUUUUCUAUUUUCCCGAAAACAGCUUUCAAACUAAAUCGAUAAUUUGAAAGUUGAAGGCCAAUCUUUGGAGCAACGAUCACCACAACAACACCAUUCUAAAAAGUUAUCAUUUUCGCUGAGCGAAAUCCAACGGUUUUUUUACUGCUUGAGAAAAGAAAAAAGUUUUCUAGCAGCAGCAUAAGAAUUAAAAGAAAAAACUCAUACCUAUUAGUGAUGAAACCAAAUACUUGACCCAUCUUCCUCUUCAUCUUCAGUUCUGCAAGCAGCAACAGCAGAUUUGAAACCAAAAUCUUGUAACCCAGAAAACGGGAUUCCCACGUCUUGUUAUUUUUCAUCUAACAAAAAAACUGAAGAAACAGGGGUUCUUCUUAAGAAAUAUUCCGUAUAACAUGGAAAAUUAAAGCUUCCAUGAUAAAUUGGUGGCUCCUCCUCGCUUCAAACUCCAAGAACCUCAGCUUACACUUGUCAUUGGUGACCACUCCAGACGAUGAAUUCGCCAAUGACAUAGAUUUUUUUAAAAAAGAAGCUAUAAUUCAAGACAGCUUAUAAUUAAUCGUCACUAAUGAAUGAUCAAGAAGAAAGAAGGAAAAACUUGUAAUCAUUAAUUUCAACACUUGAUGAAUCUUGAAUUUGAUUAAGCGAUAAAAAGCUUUUAGUGAAACCCUAAAAUCAACAUCAAACCAAAAAAAAAUCAAAUAUAAUCAAGAUGGAAGUAUAAAAAAAUCACCUGGCCAUUGAUCAUGUUCUCGGACCUCUUCAACUGAACCAACCUCUCCCCAAACUAAAUACCCAAUCUCCACAAUCUAUUCCCAUAAGCCUGGAUGUGAUUGGCAGUCGCCUUGUAACCUUCAAUUUCCACAAUCAAUGAUGUCUCCUUUGUUUCUGCCUGUUUCAUACCUCCUCUCCUCUUUCUCACAUCGAUUUGUUUUAGAAGAGAAGGAGAAGAACUGGCGAUCGCCAAUAGCACCAUCUUCACCCUCCUUUUCUUCUACCUUCCCUGUGAUUCUUUUCUCGCUUCUUCGUCUUGUGUGUGUGUAUAAAUAAAUUAUACAAUUUAUUUAUUUAUUAGUGGACAUCAUUUUUAAUUUAUUUGAUUAUAUAUAUUCAUAAAUUAUUUAAUUUGUCAAAUUUUUUAAACUAUAAAAAUACAUUACAUAUAUAUACAUAAGGUAAACUUUUAACUUCUAUUAAUCUCUCAUGAAGCAUAAUCCAAUUCAUACAAUUCAACCGAUAAAUUUACUUAGCAUGUUAGACAUGUUAUAAAUUUAUAAUUUUAAAAACAUGGUUCAUCAUUAAUUUUAAUUUUUAGGAUUAAAAUUUUAUUAAAAAUUAUUCUUUAACAAAAAUAUAUUGAUAUGAAACAUUAAUAUUUUUUUUAUAAAAUUAAUGAUAAAUAAGAAGUUGAUGUCAAAAUACUUGGUUAAUAUGUUUUAUAAAUGCAAGAAUCCUUCAAGAAUACUUUUAUAGAUGAGAGGUUUUAGGCUAAAUAAACUUUGUAUUUAAUUUACAUGGGCUUUUUUAGCAUGAGCUUGAGAUAAGGUAUGUUGUAAAAUAAUUUUUCAGGCUUAUAAAAAUUAUUUUUUAAGGUAGUAUAUGAACAAUUUAUUUGAGCAAUUAUCUUUUUUUAUUUAAAGAGUUUUAUUUUUUAAUGUCAAACUAUUAAAUUAUUUUUAUGAUGGAUAAUUAAAAAUGAUAAACAGAGAAGAUUAAUCCAUAAAAUAAUUUUGAUAUAAGCAAUUUGAGAAAUUUGUAUGAACAAUUAUCUUUCUAUGUCUAGAAAGUUUUAUUUUUAAUGGAAAAAAACUACUAAAUUAUUGUUUAAUGAUUGAUAAUUAAAUUUUAUAAACAAUAAGAAUUAAUUAAUUUUGCACCACUUUUAAUUCUAAAUUCUAGUAUAAAUAGGGAAUGAAAAUGGAGUGUUUUCCAUAACUUUCAAUUGUUCCUUUGCCUUCUUCUCUUUUAUUGUUUUUAAACUUCCUUUUCUCUUUUUUCUUUUUAUUAUAAAGGUUAAGUUCUAGUACUUUGUAGAGAAAUAUUGUAUUUAAGAAUAAAUGAUUUAAUUCUUAACAACAAUAUUUUUCAUUCUUUCUCUAUUAUAUUAACACAGGUUUUAAUUUAAUACUUUGUAUUUUAAGUAUAUUACAUUAUUUUGUAUACGCGAGUUCAUAGUAAGAACACUUGCAAUACACAAUAUUUCCUGACUUUAUUUUUUUUAAUUAAAGUUUUAAUAUAUAUAAUAGAAGCCAAUGAUGCAAUGAAAAUGAGGCAAACUAAAUGGAUUUCGAGUGUCAUGGCUGAGAAAGAAACUCAAAGUUUGUGAAUUUAUGUCUCUUCUUUCAAAAGGGAUGUGUAAACAGUGCUUAGCAUAGCGGUUUAUGACUUUUGAUAGAUUUGAUGUAAAAAUUUCAUCUGAUAAGAACGUAGAUCAGUUUAAACCGAACAAGCCAACUAGGACUCUCUUAGCUAGGUACACAACCAGGAAAUAAGGUGGAAGAUUACAGUUUAUCAUAAUGGUAUUAACUUUCGAAGAACUAGUAUCAUUCAUGGGACAAGCCUUCCCCUGCACAUCAGCAGAGUAUUUCAUAUUAAAUCACCUAAUUAUAUGCAUUUUCAAUCAAGCUGAGUGAUUCUGAAAAAUAAUAAGACAUGGAAGAUGACUCUCCACAAGUGUUCAUUGGCUUCUCAUCUGGAUAUAGAACAG
rnacentral:lncRNA from 1 species